GAAGCUGGCAGGUGCUUACACAUGCAAGUCGAAUGGGGAAUUAGCUUGUGGGGUGGAUCAGGGGGGGACGGGGCAAACACGUGAGAAUCUGCCCCUGACUCUGGGAUAAGCGCUGGAAACGGCGUCUAAUACUUGAAAUGAACCGUGGAGGCAUUUUCAACGGUUGGAAAGAUUUUUUGGUCAGGGAUGAGCUCGCGGCCUAUCAGCUUGUUGGUGAGGUAAUGGCUCACCAAGGCGUCGACGGGUAGCCGGCCUGAGAGGGUGACCGGCCACACUGGGACUGAGACACGGCCCAGACUCCUACGGGAGGCAGCAGUGGGGAAUAUUGCACAAGGGCGCAAGCCUGAUGCAGCAACGCCGCGUGAGGGAUGACGGCCUUCGGGUUGUAAACCUCUUUUAGCAGGGAAGAAGCGAAAGUGACGGUUCCUGCAGAAAAAGCGCCGGCUAACUACGUGCCAGCAGCCGCGGUAAUACGUAGGGCGCAAGCGUUAUCCGGAAUUAUUGGGCGUAAAGAGCUCGUAGGCGGUUUGUCGCGUCUGCUGUGAAAUCCCGAGGCUCAACCUCGGGUCUGCAGUGGGUACGGGCAGACUAGAGUGCGGUAGGGGAGAUUGGAAUUCCUGGUGUAGCGGUGGAAUGCGCAGAUAUCAGGAGGAACACCGAUGGCGAAAGGCAGAUCUCUGGGCCGUAACUGACGCUGAGGAGCGAAAGGGUGGGGAGCAAACAGGCUUAGAUACCCUGGUAGUCCACCCCCGUAAACGUUGGGAACUAGUUGUGGGGUCCAUUCCACGGAUUCCGUGACGCAGCUAACGCAUUAAGUUCCCCCGCCUGGGGAGUACGGCCGCAAGGCUAAAACUCAAAGGAAUUGACGGGGACCCGCACAAGCGGCGGAGCAUGCGGAUUAAUUCGAUGCAACGCGAAGAACCUUACCAAGGCUUGACAUAUACGAGAACGCUGCAGAAAUGUAGAACUCUUUGGACACUCGUAAACAGGAGAGUGCAUGGUUGUCGUCAGCUCGUGUCGUGAGAUGUUGGGUUAAGUCCCGCAACGAGCGCAACCCUCGUUCUAUGUUGCCAGCACGUAAUGGUGGGUCUCUGGGAUACUGCCGGGGUCAACUCGGAGGAAGGUGGGGAUGACGUCAAAUCAUCAUGCCCCUUAUGUCUUGGGCUUCACGCAUGCUACAAUGGCCGGUACAAAGGGCUGCAAUACCGUAAGGUGGAGCGAAUCCCAAAAAGCCGGUCCCAGUUCGGAUUGAGGUCUGCAACUCGACCUCAUGAAGUCGGAGUCGCUUAUUAUCCCAGAUCAGCAACGCUGCGGUGAAUACGUUCCCGGGUCUUGUACACCCGCCCGCUUCCUAAAGUCGGUACCCCUACCAGCGCAUUUCCCUGAGAGGAGCCUCGAAGCUGAUCGGAAUAGCA
rnacentral:rRNA from 1 species